ACGCAGAAGAGCCGCCGGCUCCGAGUUCGCGUAUAGGACGGCAACGACUAACGAUCGUAUAAAUACUAAUGGAACACCGACAGGCCGCGAUAAAAAAAGCUCCUCCUUCCUAAAUUCUGCUGUUUGUCAUCGAGUCUAUCUACAAUAAGACCGUAAGGAAACGAUGCAUCUAAAUGGAAUAAAUCCCAGCGCAACGACGAAGCUUCAGUCUUUCCAGAUUCCGAGACACGCCAGAAGAGUGUGACCCAUUGCGGAGGCGAAAGUGAGACGAGCGUUGAACGGAUAUGACUUCUCCGCUCGCGACAAACAACGAAACAAGUCGCAGCGAUCAUAGCAGAGGAGCCCGCAGCUCUUGUCGUCACGUCACUGACCGAGAACGACGAGAAUUCGUCGUGCCGGGGGCAUACCGCGAACAAGAGAAAGAGAAAGAGAGUGAAUCAAAGAAGUAAUUAUAUGUGACGUCACUCGACUGGUUUCAACACUCGACCCGAGUGCAACGAGUCGAGUCGAGUCGAGUCGAGUCGAGUCGAGCAAGUGGGCCGGAGGGCCUCUUCUCCUCUCCUGCUGCUCUCCCUAGGCCGUAGCAAUUGCCACGGCAGCUGGAGAUGCGUAUGGAAGAAAUGUGUAGUCUCCUUACUUACAAGCGGCCGUUUCUCGCAGCGCUCGCGGUCUCUCUCGUCCGCGGCGGCAAGUGGGAGGAGGCGAAAAUAGCACCUCCCAAACUUUAUGAGCGGUAAAUCAGCGGAACGUUAGUGCCGAUAUGGUCUGCGCGCCACUUAAAGCGAACUUGACGGACACAUUAGCCGCAAUAAUCCCGAGACGGCGAGUAGGAAAUUAAAUAAACCUCUCCUAAUUAUUAAUCAGCGAACGCACCCGCGGGUUGCUGUCGCCGCCGCUGUUGCUGCCGGAAGAGACGACGACGUCGACCCGCGACCGGCGCUCGAGCGAGGCCGUGAAACAGAAUCGAAUGAAGUCGGGCUUGGGUUCCUGUCGGAAGUUGAAGCGCGAGAUUUUCAGUUCAGCGAGAACGGCGAACAAGGCCGACAUUAAGAUCGACCUCUCUUUCCCAGAACGAGUUUGAAAUGCAAAAGCAAAGCGAUAGGUGAAAGGAAUGGGCGCAAAGCAACAAGUCUUUAAGGCGCAACAGGUGUUAAUGUCAUCCUCGCCACUAUGCGCCACUUGCCUUACAAUACACGCCUUUUCGCGGAAAAAGUCGAAUUACGAGGAAACUUUGGCCACGUUAUGCAACACGACCGAUGGACGAUAAAACGUCGCGAAGGGGCGAAGUGCUCUCGCGAGAGAGAUCGACAAGAGAUCGAGAGACACUCGACUGUACAUGGAAAUGACACGAGUUUAAGAGACGCGAUUUUUACUCUGGCGACAAAGCGUGCAAUAAUUUUUAAUCAAAAUCUUCAACCAUUUCAUGCGUCAUUUGCGCGCGUAUCGCGCAGACGCUCAUAACGUAAGAUCGCGAACGUUAACGCGAUGCUCACCACGCCGACGAGAGAUAACGGGGAGUUUUUACAACACCGCCUCUCAAAUACGGUAAAUGUAAAUCGUGAACGUUAUUCGCUCAGAAAUAACGUCGCAAUGUGCGCGACCGAUAUAGUAUUCACGAUUUUGCGUUUACCGUAUCUGAGAGACGGUAAAUGUAAGUCGUAAACGUUAUUCCCUCAGAAAUAACGUCGCAAUGUGCGCGACCGAUAGCAUUCACGAAUUUUUUGCGUUUAUACCGUAUCUGAGAGACGAAAGAGGCGAAAACUCGCCAAUGUUCGAUUCUUACGGGUUGAACGUAUUUCGCGGACUCAACGCGACGGCUAUUUCGCCUCGUCGGAGCAGUCAUUCGCGACGGACAGAUUGAAAUCAUAUGGUGCGCGCUCGAACUUGGCGGGGAGCGCUAAUUGAUCACGUUCAACCACGCCCUUGCGGGAACGAACGCGCGAUAAAAGGAAAUCGCAACGCAUGCAUUGAUCCAUGAUAAAAGAACUUGCGUAAUGAAGCACAGCGGGGUUUAAAAUUAGCACCUGCUCCUGACCUGGACUUCGAUGUGACCGUUCUCGUUGUUUGCCACGCGAUUAAAGUCUCGCGGUUGUCGCGUCGCGAUAACGGGCGUCCCUUUAACGAUAGCCGAGGUUUUUCCACGUUUUCUCACGUGGAAAUCCUCGAUGUGCGAUAAAGCGUGUAUUGUGUCGUAUCGGGAUUCGCGCGAUAAGAGCGAAAUUACGUCGGCAGAAAUUCCAACGGGCGAAGAAUCGGUCGUGAAAGCGUACGAUAAAGCGAUAUCGCGAUAAGCCGGGAAAAAAAUCCGAACUUCGACUGUACACUCUUCCAAGCUCUAUUUCUAGUGCUGUUUGCCUGAGGAAACGUAAAUAAAAAUUUCCUCUUUUUCCUCUUUAAUUAUAAGACACGUGCGAUCGUUUCUUCAUCUAUUACAUAAAAUAAACAUAUACAUAAAGCAUAAUUAAGAGUGAGUGUUCUAAAAGCGUCGUCGGAUUUCCACGUAAUCCGUAUAAAUACAAAGUAUCGCAAAUUUUGCGCAA